rnacentral:rRNA from 1 species
AUUGAACGCUGGCGGCAGGCCUAACACAUGCAAGUCGAGCGGAGCGGCGGACGGGUGAGUAAUGCCUAGGAAUCUGCCUGGUAGUGGGGGAUAACGUCCGGAAACGGGCGCUAAUACCGCAUACUAUCAGAUGAGCCUAGGUCGGAUUAGCUAGUUGGUGGGGUAAAGGCCUACAAAGGCGACGAUCCGUAACUGGUGUGAGAGGAGGAACAGUCACACUGGACCUGGGAAACGGGCCAGACUCCUACGGGGGGCAGAAGUGGGGAAUAUUGGACAAGGGGGGAAAGCCUGAGCCAGCCAUGCCGGGUGUGUGAAGAAGGUCUUCGGAUUGUAAAGCACUUUAAGUUGGGAGGCGUUACCAACAGAAUAAGCACCGGCUAACUUCGUGCCAGCAGCCGCGGUAAUUC